rnacentral:tRNA from 1 species
GGAGGGAUGCGAGAGCGGCCGAAUCGGACGGUCUCGAAAACCGUUGUGCCCCCUGGGCACCGUGGGUUCAAAUCCCACUCCCUCCGCCA